rnacentral:rRNA from 1 species
UACGUAGGGACCGAGCGUUGUCCGGAAUCAUUGGGCGUAAAGCGCGCGUAGGCGGCCAUUUAAGUCCUGCGUGAAAUCUUGCGGCUCAACCGCAAGCGGUCGUGGGAAACUGGGUGGCUAGAGUGCGGGAGAGGAGAGUGGAAUUCCUGGUGUAGCGGUGGAAUGCGCAGAUAUCAGGAAGAACACCCGUGGCGAAGGCGGCUCUCUGGAACGCAACUGACGCUGAGACGCGAAAGCGUGGGGAGCAAACAGG